rnacentral:rRNA from 1 species
GACAAACGCUGGCGGCGUGCAUAAAACAUGCAAGUCGAACGGGCCAAUCCCCGCAAGGGGAAAGGGACUAGUGGCGAACGGCUGAGUAACACGUAGGUGACCUGCCCCGAACGUGGGGGAGUAACAACUCGAAAGAGUUGCUAAUACCGCAUGUGACCACCGAUUCAUUUCGGUGCUCAAAGUCGCAAGACGCUUUGGGAGGGGCCUGCGGCGGAUUAGCUAGUUGGUGGGGUAACGGCCUACCAAGGCAUCGAUCCGUAGCUGGUCUGAGAGGAUGACCAGCCAGACUGGGACUGAGACACGGCCCAGACUCCUACGGGAGGCAGCAGUUAGGAAUUUUGCGCAAUGGGGGAAACCCUGACGCAGCCACGCCGCGUGCGGGAUGAAGGCCUUCGGU